rnacentral:rRNA from 1 species
GAUUUCUGACUGACCGUCCUGGCCCGCUUCUUUUACGGGAGUGAGUGCCGGUACGAGUUUGUCAUCCUUCUAGAAAGCCGCGCCUACCGUUCAUUCGUGCGGGCGUGUGCGGUCUAGAUCUUUUACUUUGAAAAAAUUAGAGUGUUUAAAGCAGGCUUACGCUAUGAAUACAUUAGCAUGGAAUAAUAAUAUAGGACUUUGAUUCUAUUUUGUUGGUUCUCGGGACCGAAGUAAUGAUUGAUAGGGAUAGUUGGGGGUGCUAGUAUUCAGCGGCCAGAGGUGAAAUUCUCGGAUUCGCUGAAGACUAACUUAUGCGAAAGCAUU